AGCUCCAGCAUUAGUAAGGCUGCUGACUUUUAAGUCUGAUGAAGUAUUCACCUCUGAUUUGGGAGACCCAUCAUCAUCAGGAUUCCAAACACGCUCUGGACAUAUAAUGAAUCGUCUUGACCCACUUUUCAGAAGAGCUUUCCCCUCAUUCCAAAAGACUGGAGCCAUGAGAUUCAGGGCUGGAUCAAUAAUCAACUCUGUGGAUCUUGAAUUUGAAUCAUCAUCUACUACUAAUGAUACACUAAUUAAAGACAUUUUGGUUAAUGAGGCUUCAAACAUCACAGAAUUCAACGUACUAGCAGACACGGUUGCUAUUAGUGACCCAGCAGCUCCAACCACAACAACAGA